rnacentral:rRNA from 1 species
UACCUACGGGACGCAGCAGUGAGGAAUAUUGGUCAAUGGCCGCAGGGCUGAACCAGCCAAGUCGCGUGAGGGAUGACGGUCCUAUGGAUUGUAAACCUCUUUUGUCAGGGAGCAAAGGGCGCCACGUGUGGCGUUUCGCGAGUACCUGAAGAAAAAGCAUCGGCUAACUCCGUGCCAGCAGCCGCGGUAAUACGGAGGAUGCGAGCGUUAUCCGGGUUUAUUGGGUUUAAAGGGUGCGCAGGCGGACUGUCAAGUCAGCGGUAAAUGUUCGGGGCUCAACCCCGUCGUGCCGUUGAAACUGGCGG